CAAGAAGGUGUGAGUACUGACCCCGAUAAAAUAGAAGCACUCACUACCUGGCCACGUCCCAUUAACUACAGAGAACUCAAGACGUUUCUUGGAUUUAGUGGUUACUACCGCAGAUUUGUGAAGAACUAUGCUACGAUUGUAAAACCUCUGAAUGAUCUUACCAGGGGAUACCAGUCCAACAAGAACAAAUCUAAGACCCAGAAUAAGCGGAGGCCUCCAAAGCCGCCUUUGCAGAGACACUAUGGCCCCUUCGAACCAUUUGGGCCGCGGUGGGAUGAAAGAUGUGAGAGAGCUUUUCGGGAAAUCAUUACUCGCUUAACUCAUGCUCCCGUCCUAGUCUUUGCUGACCCGAGCAAACCGUUUAUCCUGCAUACUGAUGCCAGUUUGGAGGGUCUGGGAGCAGUACUGUAUCAGGAAGUGGAAGGCAAACGCAAACCGGUAGCCUUUGCCAGCCGAGGACUGUCUGACAGUGAAACUCGCUACCCCAUCCACAAGCUGGAGUUCUUGGCCUUAAAAUGGGCCAUCACUGAGAAAUUCCGAGACUACUUGUACGGUGCUCAGUUCCAGGUGUGGACAGACAACAACCCACUGACCUAUGUGUUAACAAGUGCUAAAUUGGAUGCUACAGGCCAGAGAUGGGUGGCCGCCUUGGCUAGCUAUGAGUUCAGCAUUCAAUACCGAUCAGGGAGGAGCAAUGUAGAUGCAGAUGCCUUGUCCAGACGUCCGCAGGCACCUGAUGUCGCUGUGAUACCCACGGAUGGCGUGAGAGCUAUUUGCAGUGUGAGUCGCCGAGAGCCGGAGUCCCCUGAGAGCCUUCAUGGAUGUGUUGCUGAAGCUUUGGGCCUACCCCCUGAAGGCGUGCCUUCUGCUUCAGUGAACUAUAUUGCUUUGGACCAAUCUCCCUUGCCCAUGCUCAAUACGGCUGACUGGCAAGAGGCCCAACUACAAGAUGCUGACAUUCGUGAUACACUACUUGCCAAAAGAGAGGGGCGAGGCCCAGCUGAGGUUGUCCCACCUACCCCAGAGGCCAA
rnacentral:lncRNA from 1 species